GACGAACGCUGGCGGCGUGCUUAACACAUGCAAGUCGAACGGAAAGGCCCUGCUUUUGUGGGGUGCUCGAGUGGCGAACGGGUGAGUAACACGUGAGUAACCUGCCCUUGACUUUGGGAUAACUUCAGGAAACUGGGGCUAAUACCGGAUAGGAGCUCCUGCUGCAUGGUGGGGGUUGGAAAGUUUCGGCGGUUGGGGAUGGACUCGCGGCUUAUCAGCUUGUUGGUGGGGUAGUGGCUUACCAAGGCUUUGACGGGUAGCCGGCCUGAGAGGGUGACCGGCCACAUUGGGACUGAGGUACGGCCCAGACUGCUACGGGAGGCAGCAGUGGGGAAUAUUGCACAAUGGGCGGAAGCCUGAUGCAGCAACGCCUCGUGCGGGAUGACGGCCUUCGGGUUGUAAACCGCUUUCGCCUGUGACGAAGCGUGAGUGACGGUAAUGGGUAGAGAAGCACCGGCUAACUACGUG
rnacentral:rRNA from 1 species